UGGACACCCUUAGGCAAUGAAGUGUACAUGGCAAGAUACAGUGCAAGCUUCUCACACUGCCCCACAUACCCUGUGCUGGAGGGACCACCUCUGCUGGGGAAAGGGUAAUUCAGUCUCCAGGCUAAUUCGGCCUUUGCCUUCU
ensembl:misc_RNA